GGAGUAUUAAUUGCCAAUCUCCUGGAGAUACUCAAAGCCGUUAUUGUUGGGAUGCGAGGAAUUGAUAAGAGAGAGCUUUUCUGGGGAAACAAUCUCUCGGUGGAAAGUCAAGCGGAAAAUGAAGAAUGAGCCAGAUCUAUUUGUAGCGUUGUGAUUAAACCUGUAUGACUAGUACGAGGAAAAGUAACAUGACCUUUAUUAAAAGAGCACACAAAGGAGGUGACAUUUUCUUCCUAUUAGCUGGCAAAGAAGGAUAAAUGUCAACCAGCAUGAGUAAAUGUAUCGGGGGGCCAACACCCUGAAACUUUCGGCUCUCAAGUUAACUUGUCCAUAUGGUAAGUUUUCAAAUGGACAUGACUUUUAAACCACUAGUUGUUCCAUUUAGGGUUCACGCCAAAGAAAUCGUCAGAGCUGGACCAAAGAUGUACAAUUUAGGGGGGAAAAAUAAAUCCUAAGUGUCUAGCAAAAGUAGAAGGCAGUUUUGAUAGGUGGCUUUACGGUAUGAAUGUCUAGGCAGCGAGCAGUGUAAAAAAAAAUCCGUGUUAAAAAUAUGAUACCUAUGUAAGUGGAAAAAGCAGAUUCCAGAUCAGUAUGUGCCUCUUGGUAUUCCUUUAUUAAAACAAAAGUAGUAUAUUCAUACAUGUAAAUAGAGAUUAGUUGGACAUAUACCAAAAUUAACUAAUACUUGAGAGGAUUAUGGAUGUUUCAUUUUCUUUGUGCUUUUCAGUUUUCUUACAGUCUUACAUUACAUUUGGAAUCAGUAAAGACAAAAAACCCAACUGCUAUUGUUUUCACGAAUGGUACUGAUGAAACCUUGCACCACAAAGAGUCAAGGAAAAAUGUUUCUCAGCGUUGGGCAACUAAAUAGAAAGAGCCUCAUUCCAGAAACAGAGGUUCCUCAUAACACACCAAAUGUUUCUGAGUCUCUUCUGAGCCAUGUUGUGGCAGGGGAAAGCAAACAGGAGCUGGUAGUUUGGAGGAGGGCCAGCCUCAGAGAACAGGUCCUCGUCCCCCACCACCGUCAAGACUGAAAGAAAUCAUUGUAUCAUCCAUGAUGUCCAAAUGCUUCCCUGCCCAUGCUGAAGCCUCUCCUCUUCCUCAAGGCCGGGAAGACUGUCCUUCUGCCAGUGGACAGAUCCCUGUUGAGACCCAUCGGCUCACCGGACACCCCAUUAUUACUGCCGCCUGAUCCCCCAUCAUUGUUCCCUUUCUACCUCGUGACACAUCCCAACGCUUGGUAUCUGCGUCAUCUUUGAACAUUCUCACGUCCUUCAGCAUGCAGCUGUGUCUUUGGAGUCUGCCUCUUUCCCUGUAUCACCCUCUGCCCUUGCACUUGGCUCGGGUGCACGGGUCCUAAGCUUGGUACAGACACUAACUCACUCCUUGUCUGCCACAUGUGGCCACAAAUGAUCAACCUCGCUCCUGUGGAACACUGUGGCCAAAAACCCAAUCUUGAAAAAGACACUUGUGACAAAUUCAUUUUGGACUUCCUGUAUCAUUAUUAAAACGGUGGUCAACAGUCAGUCUACACAAUUUGAGAUGCACCUUGAUGUAAAAAAAUGUUUCCAAAAAGUUGAGGAUAAAUGAAAUGUUGAUAAAUUUAUUCUCAACUGUUUAGUGUACACUUCUCAUUUUAGUAAGUCUGUACUUAGAAUUUGGGGAAAUUAACUUACUCAUAAGUGAAUUUAGCAUGGGAAAGAAAACACAUAAGUACAACAUUGGUAGAUUACAAGUGACAAAUGUUUGAAGAAUGAAUGAGCAAGCGAAUGAAUGCAUUGGUGUUACUGGGCAAAAACAAUAAAUGAAAUAUUGGAUACUAUGGCAUGUAAGCAUAUAUACAGUUUUUAAUGAUAAAAGGAUGGUGUUUAUUUGGUAGAAACCACACCAGGAAUAAUGUUAUACAGUCAAUAUAAUCUCAGUGUAUAACCCUGUAAAUGUGAAGAAGCUUAAGUGUACUAGCCACUGGAUGAAGGCUAUUAUAGGUCAUUUUUAUAUACUUUAUAUUUUCUGUAUUUUCUACCUUUUCAAUAAGCACAUAUUACUAUUAAAAGACACUAUUUUCAAAAUGGUAUAGGCACUAAGUUCUACGAGUGCCAAAGAAAGACAUGACUUUGGACCACAGCACAUUGGGAGGGCUUCUUGGGUGAGUGAAUUCUGAGCGGAGUAAUGCAGAUAGGAUUGGAAGGAAAAUGGUAAAGCGUUUAGGUGGGUAACCGGCCAGGAUUGAGGAGAUAUCAAAUGAUAUUUUAAGUAUAAUUCUGUAUUAUUUUUGAAUGGACUUUCGUAAAGACAACCAUUGCCCUCACAGUGGGCAGUUACUUUGUGUGUUUACAGUGGGUGACAAUCCGGCUAGGGAUGAAUCAGUCUGGCCCAGCUUUUCCAUCAUAGUAAAGGACAAGCAGUACAUCACCCCAAGAGCCUCGGAGGCAUAAUGUAAAGUAUUCCUGAAAGCAUAGUAUUAUCUGUCUUAUUUUAUCUUAAAAUCUGCAUUAUUUGACUUCUGUUCCUAUACCUAUGUAUUUGUGUUAAGAUAUAAAUAAUGCUCUUUUCAUUUCAAACUACUGGGAUCACAGUAGGAAAAAAAACACUCUCCUAGGAAAUCAUGCCAUUCCUGUCUCAUGACUUCAAUAUCCUACUGAUAUACUAGUCAAGCUUCUCUAGGUAUAUGCUCUUUUGAGAAGAAUCAGACUGAUGGUUAUUAUAGCUUCAAAAAGUUAAUUACUAAUACUGAGUUUUUAAAAAGCAGUGCACAUUUCAUUUGCUUC